GGCAAGAUGGCCGAGCGGUCUAAGGCGCUGGAAUCAGGACACUAGCUCCACAUCCAGUCCGAAAGGGCGUGGGUUCAAAUCCCACUCUUGUCA
rnacentral:tRNA from 1 species